rnacentral:tRNA from 1 species
GGGGCUGUGGGCCAGUCUGUUUAAGCUUCCUGCUUUGGGAGCAGGCGACCCAGGUUAAAAUCCUGGCAGCCCCA